GCUGGGUGCGAUGGCUCAUGCCUGUAAUCCUAGCACUUUGGGAGGCUGAGGCAGGAGGAUCACUUGAGCCCAGGAGUUCAAGACUGACCUGGGCAACAUAGUAAGACUCUGUCUCUACAAAAAAUAAAAAAUUAGCUGGGCAUAGUGGCAUGUGCCUGUAGUCCCAGCUACUGGGGAGGCUAAGGUGAGAGAAUCACUUGAGCCCAGGAGGCCAAGGCUGAAGUGAACAGUGAUCAUGCCAUUGCAUUCCAGCCUGGGCAACAGAGUGAGCCCCUGUCUCU
rnacentral:sRNA from 1 species